AAGCCAUGAUGAGGACAUCUCAAGGUAUAGCCCUUGAAUAUUUCCCAAGAUUCACCAAAAUCUUCUAAGUUCUUUUGUUCAAACCUAGAGAUCUCAUUUCUUAUCUU
rfam:Brassica oleracea var. oleracea cultivar TO1000 chromosome C3, whole genome shotgun sequence